AGGCAGAGAAAGACAGUGAGCUCACCUACCUGUUCCAGCCCAGGGCAUCUUUCCCCUGGUCUCCAUUCCCCCCAACCCUAGUCUGGGUCCAGUGGAAACUGGGAAGGGAAUGGGAUGGAACCCUUGGGUCCUGUCACAAUAGGCCUUGGAGACAUUUAGGGCUAAGCAAAACACAUCCUCUGGCUCAGGCAGGGUCCCAGGCCGACCCUAGGAACCCCCCUCUCCAUCAGAGCCCAGGCGGUCUGCCAGGUGGCUGUGCUCUGCUCAUCCUCUUGAACUCCAGGUAAAGCCAAGGAGAGACAUUCCAGACAACAGCAGAGAAGGGCAGGGAUGGCAGGGGCCUAUGUGUAGAAAGAAUGGGGCCUGCCCGGCAGGGAGGCCAUGGGUGGGCAGAGCCUGGGGAUCCGCUGACUUUGGGGAGCCAGCAGGCUGGUGCUGGUGUGGUGGGGGGACCUCAGGUGUGAGAGGGAAAGGGCGGGGACCUGAGGCCUUACCUUGUAGAGACCGGCAUUGUAAGAGAUUAGAAAUGCUUGCAAAAGUGUAAGCUAAUGGAAUCAGAUACACUUCUAGUGCAAAAGUAAAAAAAUAAAAAAUAAAAAAAGGAAAAAUAAGAAAAUAAAGAAAUGAAGGCCCUUUUCAUAAGGAGAGAGAUCUAAGCGCACUAAAAAUGAUGCAUGGACCAUGUAGUUUGGACAUGGAGUUAAUCAAACAGAACAGAAGUGUGUGAGCAUGAGGCCUGCAUGCAUGCAGCAGUGGACACCAAGGAAAGGUCCUGGUGGGAAAGAAGAACUGAACAAAAGAUCCGUACUUGAAAAUGUGCCUCCCUCGGGACCUGGAAGGGCCAGGCCUUCACGGGAGUAGGGAGCCGAGACCUUACCUCCAGAUUUCCAUUCCAAGGGCAGGCAAAAGAAGGUUUUGUGGCUGUGCCUCUGACUACCACUUGCUCAGCUGACCUGGGUGUUCCCUAGUCAGUCUAGACCAGCAGAAAGUGUACAACACUUUCAAGUGUGAGAGACAGGCCCCAGUGCCCUACUCCCUGCACUUCAAGUCCUGGCUUCCUCUCUCACCUUGGCCCCGCCCACGGUCAGCAAGCGAGAUGGCCUGAACAUGCACUCUGCCCUGAGCCUUGUGCAUUAAAGCCGUUUCCUUAUCCUGCAGACUCGUGGCUCCUUAAGCAGAGGUGAUAUGACUGUCAGGAGCAUCCCUGAGUGUUUUCAUAAGGCUCCACGCCACUGAAGUAUGCUCAUUUUAGUGAGCUUGCCAACCUUCCAAGUAGUCCUAAGGGAGGUCAAAGGCUGUGGUACCAGGGAGGGAGGACAUGCAUGUUAUAAGGCUUGCUCCAAACUCUGAAGAAUGACCUGCCAGUGAGGGUCUUCCAGACCUCCACUUUAUGCAACCUGUGUGUCUGGACAUUGAAAGCUAGCCUCUGAAUCCAGUGUAGAAAGUGGCCAAUAAGCCAGCCAGGAAACCAAAAGGCUGCUUUGAUUGUGAGAACAAAUUCAAAGGGGUUCCUAUGGUCCAAUGCCUAUUCCAAAGUGCUCCUGGACUUCUCACAUGUCAUUUCAGGGAUCUGGGGAGUCCAAAGCAAGGGUAGGAACCCAUGCUCUAGAAUUUUCUGAUAUUAUCACUGUCUGACCUUCCUAGUCUUUACUGAAGAACAAGUUUAGGACUAAACCUUAGAAGGAGCCAAUGAGGCCCCAGACCCUUGGGAACAGGGCCAUUCCCAGCCUUCACUUGCUGGGUCUCUUUAAAGGGACAAGUCUGGAUGCUAUUAAUCCAGGUCACCCCAAAGCCAGUUCCUGACACCCAACAAUCUGCAUUGUCUCAAAACUGCAGCUCAAGCUUUGCACCAUCAACACUGCAAAAUAAGCUGGGUGUGCCUGUGAAGCCGCAGAGGAUCCCAUUUUGAACCCCGAGUGGUUGGCUGUGUCAGCCUUCCAGAUGAGAGCUCUUCCAGCCCACAUAACUGGGUGAUUAUGAAAUGCCAGCAGUGGGCUCUGAAAAUGAGUUGGAGGCCCAUCUAAUGACCAUCUGAAGCUCCGAAGCCUGAGACAGACAGCAAGCUCUGAGGGGUGUGGGACAGUAAUGAUUCCCUGAAGUCCACGGAGCAACUGUGGUGCAAGACCCAAAGCUGGGAAUAUGCAGCUCUCCUCUCUGGCCCAUUCCAGGCCGCAAGUGGGAGUUAUGAACCCCGCCUUGUUGGAUCACGCACGUUCCUGAGCUUGUCUGGGACUCUGUAGCACCGAGCAGCAGGGAGAGCCGACUCCACCUCAGGCUGCAUGCUGAUCCCUAGCCAACAUGUGCUGCACAGCUUUCUGAGGGCCGGGCCUCCAGGCGCUGUGUUUCCUGGGACAGUGCUUACCCACUAAGAUGGCAGUCUAAUGGGGUAAGUGAAAGAGAAACAGGUCUGAACUUUGCUGUGAUGGAGAAUUGCUGAGGGCCACAGGACAGAACAAGAGGCCACAGAGCCUUGCUCAGGCUUCACUCAGGAGGUGAAAAGAGCAGGUGAGCUGGAGAAGUGUGGCCUUACUAGCAGCCUCCCUCUGUCCCUGGACUUCCCUAAGUAGAUUCCUCUGCCCAUAUUCCCUACUCAGGACAGCCUGGAAGCACCUGGGCACUGUGUGGGCCGCAGAGCCGGGGAUCACUCCCUUGUGCAGUUUGGUACCCUGUCGUCUUCAACCAGCCCAGCAGGGGCAGCCUUUGGAGGCUGUACUUUAUUUCAUGUUUGGCAAUGACCUUUCCACCUUUGCUGCCAGAGGAGGGGAUGCCGAUGCCACAGGUACCACUGCAGACACAUUGCCCAGGCACAAGCAAAGACUGAGGAUGAAGUCACAGAGAGGAAGGGAAGAGAGGAAAGACAGGUGGGACAUGCCAGAAAAAAGGGACAGGGCGGCUCGUAUUCUAAAGAGUGUCAGGCCUAGAACUGCAGGUGAUGAUCCAGUGCUGGUGACCGUCCUCUCUGCAGCAACUAACUAUGCCCAGCUCACGCCCUCCAGCUCUCCAUUCUGUUUACACACUUGUCAGCUGGUGAGCACCUGGGCUGUUUCCACAUUAGGGUUGCUAUGAAAGCUGGUGCUCAUAAACAGGGUGCUUGAGGAACAACUGAUGGGACCGGACCUACAGGAGACUAAAGGGGACCCCUACCAGGAAGGCUUAUCUAGCUGCAGAUAACUUCAGGGAAAAGCAAAUGCAAAGGUCCUGAGGCACAAGUGGGCCAGGCUCGUUCAAAGAUGAGCAAAGAGGUGGGUGGUUGAGGUGGACGAGUGAGUGAGGGAAGACAUGGUGAGUUUAUAAGGGACUGAAAGCCAGAGGCCAGCGUGGAGUGGCCUGCUGUGAGCGUAGGCCUGCUGCCCCUGGCCACAUUGGGAGAUGUGGGAGGACUCUAAUAUCUCAUAUCAUUCUCAGGCAGACAGUCAUCUGCGCUGCUUGCCCCAUG